UACGGGGGUUGCAAGCGUUACUCGGAAUCAUUGGGCGUAAAGGGCGCGUAGGCGGCCUGGUAAGUCAGAUGUGAAAGCCCGGGGCUCAACCCCGGAAGUGCAUUUGAUACUGCUGGGCUUGAGUAUGGGAGAGGGAAGUGGAAUUCCUGGUGUAGAGGUGAAAUUCGUAGAUAUCAGGAGGAACACCGGUGGCGAAGGCGACUUCCUGGACCAAUACUGACGCUGAUGCGCGAAGGCGUGGGGAGCAAACAGG
rnacentral:rRNA from 1 species